AUAAAAGCAUCCUGCCUUCCGCCACAUUUUACAGUUCUGUGGACGCUUGGGAACAGAGACUUCCCGUUUCAUGAAGUGUUAAAGUUUGUUUCUAUUACCUAAAUUGUCUUCUUUAAUCAUUUUUAGCAUCUAAAAGGACUUUACUUUGGAAGAGCAACUCAUCAACUUUUGUUUCUAUUUUUUGAGAAUCCCCAGAUUGAUAUUAACCAGUAGAACAAUCAGCCUUCAUCUCAUAACUGACUUCUUUGCUGUGACUUGCAGACUGCUGUAAAGACUAGAAGAUACUCAAGAAAACAAGAGCAGGAAACCCAAAAAGCGUUGCAGCUUGAAAUGACAUGCUCCUCGACGCCUCUCACAACCCGAAGGAACUGCAGUGAUUCACAACCACAGAACCGGAAGUUGAAUGAGGGACACGGUCGGAUGAGCGUCUUCUGUUGCGUAACCCUGAGAAGUGCUCCAAAGCAGAUCGUGCAUUCCACGCACCAGAUUGCAGCAAACUUCCUCACUUCCCAGAUGAAAACAACUGGAUUUGGACUAAUGAAAAAAGGAACGGUCAGCUGCCGUCAGAGUAAGUGAAGGUGUGUAUUUUAAAUUCUUCCUGGGAUAGGAUCUCUUAUGUUGGGUACAGCUAGAAUGCUUGUUGGCUUUAGCAUUCUUUGAUCUUUCUUGGGUCUGGUGCUUGAGAUCGAGUCAGAAUCAUUCAACAUGGAGAGUAGAAAAAGAGGAGAGAAUAUAGGUGUGAGGAGACUUGUAUCACAACUCAGAAGACAAGGAACAGCAACAGUUUCUCAUUAACAUGAUAAAACGUUUUAUGCAGUAUUUUUUUUUUCCUUUGUAGUGUUCUGUAACUGGGAAAGCACAUUAGGGAAGCGAUGGAAAUCAUUCGGCAACAGCCUUUUUUAAAAAAUCACAUCUUUGUCUUAAGGAUGCAGAGCCCUGUGAGCUUUAAAGAGCUUAUCUCCUUCUCUUAGUUUUCUUGGCUGGAGAGGAGUCACGGGCUGGCAUUUUAUAACGGGCUUGACAAGGAGAAAACACUCCAGGUAUUCCUAGGAGUAAGAAAAUGGCUUUCUCUGGCCUCGUAAAGGAAAACGGAAGAAGAUGAGACAUGGAAAGAUCUUCAGAUGUGUAGGAAGGUCAGAAAUGAGCAAAUAUGGGCUGGUCGGCCUCGGGCGGUACUAGUUUCAGGAACUUGGCUCCCAACUUUACAGUAGGAUUAUGUGCUAGUGUGUGUCUGCAGGUAGAUGCGCCUGCAUAAAUUUAGGGGAAAAAAUAUUGUGAAUUUACAAACCAAACUGUACAAGCCAAACUGCAAAUAACGAUUAAGCACCCUGGCGGCAGACGCCAGGUCCCAAACAUGAUGCAAUAUUGUCUUUUACUUGGACAAAGAAAUGUGUAGCCCUAGGUUUUCCAAAAUUGCAAGGCCCAGUGAAUCUACUUUUCAUCUCUUUUUAACUUCCUUUGUUUCUGUUACGUCUCACGAAACAUCAACUCUUCACUCUAAUUUCAUUCUCUCGCUUUUUUUCUUUUUACUGUAGCACAUUCUAGAAUAACUUUUUCAUGCAGAUUCCCUACUUACAAACUUACUGAGUCUAUGCACAUCUCAAAACGCUUCUUCCCCUUAUCUUUAAUUGUUCAGCCUCAUAUGAAAUUUGGGGUUCAAAAUUAUUCCCCCUGCACGUUUUGAAAGCUUAGCACUAUUGUUUUCUAGUGGCUUAUGUUGCUGAUGAAAAGUUUUGUGGCCAUCAGGAUCUCUUUCCUCUGGAAGUAAUUGAUCAUAUGUUCUCCUUAAAAGGUUUUAGGAUUUUUCUGGUGGAUGAUUACAAUUCUGACGUUUCAGAAGAGUCUGUGUCUUUUUCCUUUUUCACUCAUCCUGCCUGACAUUUGGUGAGUCUCUUCCAUCAGGUGAAGUGUAUCUUCAUAUCUGGGAAUGUCUUUCAGUCCUUACAUGUUUUGUAAAUGGCUUAAUCCUUCUCAGUAAUUCUUAUCUCUAGCUACAGCCCUUCCAGAAGAGUUAAAUGUCAUCUAGGCAAAGGAGGGGAAUAUAUUUCGGGGACUAUGCCUGUGAGUUGGUAAAUAGAGGUAGUGCCCUUAUGGCACUGGAAAGAGUUUUCAGAAUAGGCUUUAGAACUAUAAAGAACAAUAGAUUAACAAUAGGUUGUAACGAUAGAUUGUUACAGUCUAAUUGUAACAAUAGAUUAAAUGAAAUUUUAAAAUAACUAAGGAAAAACGUGAAGAGGAUGAGGAAAUAGUAUAAUUAAGUUCCUCAUCUUUUCGGUAGGAAGAAUCUACUUAAGGUCCAGAAAUGAAGAAGUAGAAACACAAGCAUAUUAUUUAGGUUUGUGGAAGUGACCAUGAGAAUUAAAAGCAGAAACAGUCAAGAGGUUUACCUUGGAACGUUGCAGCUGGGGUGGA
rnacentral:lncRNA from 1 species